UACGUAGGGGGCAAGCGUUAUCCGGAAUUAUUGGGUGUAAAGGGUGCGUAGACGGGAAUGUAAGUUAGUUGUGAAAUACCUUGGCUUAACUGAGGAACUGCAACUAAAACUACAUUUCUUGAGUGCAGGAGAGGAAAGUGGAAUUUCUAGUGUAGCGGUGAAAUGCGUAGAUAUUAGGAGGAACACCAGUGGCGAAGGCGACUUUCUGGACUGUAACUGACGUUGAAGCACGAAAGUGUGGGGAGCAAACAGG
rnacentral:rRNA from 1 species